AUUGAACGCUGGCGGCAUGCCUUACACAUGCAAGUCGAACGGUAACAGGUCUUCGGAUGCUGACGAGUGGCGAACGGGUGAGUAAUACAUCGGAACGUGCCCGAUCGUGGGGGAUAACGAGGCGAAAGCUUUGCUAAUACCGCAUACGAUCUACGGAUGAAAGCGGGGGAUCUUCGGACCUCGCGCGGACGGAGCGGCCGAUGGCAGAUUAGGUAGUUGGUGGGAUAAAAGCUUACCAAGCCGACGAUCUGUAGCCGGUCUGAGAGGAUGAUCAGCCACACUGGGACUGAGACACGGCCCAGACUCCUACGGGAGGCAGCAGUGGGGAAUUUUGGACAAUGGGCGAAAGCCUGAUCCAGCCAUGCCGCGUGCAGGAUGAAGGCCUUUGGGUUGUAAACUGCCUUUGUACGGAACGAAAAGCCUCUUUCUAAUAAAGAGGGGUCAUGACGGUACCGUAAGAAUAAGCACCGGCUAACUACGUG
rnacentral:rRNA from 1 species